rnacentral:tRNA from 1 species
GCGCCUGUAGCUCAGCGGAUAGAGCGUUCGCCUCCGAAGUGAAAGGUCGUAGGUUCGAUCCCCACCAGGCGUA